GAUGAACGCUGGCGGCGUGCCUAAUACAUGCAAGUCGAGCGAACAGACGAGGAGCUUGCUCCUCUGACGUUAGCGGCGGACGGGUGAGUAACACGUGGAUAACCUACCUAUAAGACUGGGAUAACUUCGGGAAACCGGAGCUAAUACCGGAUAAUAUAUUGAACCGCAUGGUUCAAUAGUGAAAGACGGUUUUGCUGUCACUUAUAGAUGGAUCCGCGCCGCAUUAGCUAGUUGGUAAGGUAACGGCUUACCAAGGCAACGAUGCAUAGCCGACCUGAGAGGGUGAUCGGCCACACAGGAAGUGAGACGCGGUACAGACGCCUACGGGAGGCAGCAGUAGGUAAUCGUCCGAAAUGGGCGAAAGCUUGACGGAGCAACGGCGCGUGAGUGAAGCAGGGCUGCGGCUCGUAAAACUCUGUUAUUAGUGAAGAACAAAUGUGUAAGUAACGAUGCAUGUGUUGACGGUACCUAAUCAGAAAGCCACGGCUACUUCCGU
rnacentral:rRNA from 1 species